rnacentral:rRNA from 1 species
CCUACGGGCUGCACCAGUGGGGAAUAUUGCACAAUGGGCGCAAGCCUGAUGCAGCCAUGCCGCGUGUAUGAAGAAGGCCUUCGGGUUGUAAAGCACUUUCAGCGGGGAGGAAGGCGUUAAGGUUAAUAACCUCAUCGAUUGACGUUACCCGCAGAAGAAGCACCGGCUAACUCCGUGCCAGCAGCCGCGGUAAUACGGAGGGUGCAAGCGUUAAUCGGAAUUACUGGGCGUAAAGCGCACGCAGGCGGUCUGUCAAGUCGGAUGUGAAAUCCCCGGGCUCAACCUGGGAACUGCAUUCGAAACUGGCAGGCUAGAGUCUUGUAGAGGGGGGUAGAAUUCCAGGUGUAGCGGUGAAAUGCGUAGAGAUCUGGGGGAAUACCGGUGGCGAAGGCGGCCCCCUGGACAAAGACUGACGCUCAGGUGCGAAAGCGUGGGGAGCAAACAGGAUUAGAUACCCCCGUAGUC